UACGUAGGGUGCAAGCGUUGUCCGGAAUUAUUGGGCGUAAAGAGCUCGUAGGCGGUCUGUCGCGUCGGCUGUGAAAACCCGAGGCUCAACCUCGGGCCUGCAGUCGAUACGGGCAAACUGGAGUGUUGCAGGGGAGACUGGAAUUCCUGGUGUAGCGGUGAAAUGCGCAGAUAUCAGGAGGAACACCCGUGGCGAAGGCGGCUCUCUGGGACGGUACUGACGCUGAGACGCGAAAGCGUGGGGAGCGAACAGG
rnacentral:rRNA from 1 species